GAUAACCAUCAUCACGAGGAAGAGUUUUCUCCGCAGCACCGGCAUUAUUCUAUCUAGUCAGAAGAACGGGCUUUCACCGAAGCAGGUCUAACCAAAAAUACACCCUACUCCAUCACUGUCAUCCAGAGAGCUGCUGUUCAACAGUGAGUAGAAAUCUGGUAUGUAACAAGGAUCCACAAAACAUAUGCAGUUAAUAGACCAUCACUUCCAUCUACAGCAAGAGAAAGUGCCGGAACUGUUUCUGUAGCUCAACUUAGGGGUGGGCGAUAUGACCAAAAAUCUGUUUCAAGGAAUGAUUCAUUUUAUUUAACAGUAGUAACAGUAUAUUUCAUGGUAUAUAUGUUUUUCAGCUUUAUGUUUAUAUGAAGAGUUUGGUUCCAAAACAGCUAAAUCAGUAUUGUAUCAGGUCAGUAUUAAAAAGUAAAUUCCUAAUUUUUUAGCAAAAUCCAAUAUCCGCCGUGUUAUUCUGUUAUCUUUUCUCCCUUUUUUCCCAAAACGCGAUAAACGCCAAUCCUCCUUCUCUGCAGAAUGCAAUAAAUCUGCUCAACAAAUCACAGCGCACCAUUCCAAGCAUUGUAAACAACAAUGGCGGAGCGUUAAUACACAUGGAAUCCUAGUUUUCCUCAUCUAUUUUGUACUUCGUGAUCAACAAACAAUUAAAAACAAAAUAAUAUUUUGAUGGAAUUGAUAAACCUUUCGUGUUUUUUUGUGACGGGAAAAAAACGUAAGCCAUUAAAAUCUAAUAAUUUACGCAAGAGGCACUCGAGAGAUGGAGAAAUGCCGGCUGUUGCUUGUUCUCCUGACAGCAUCAAGCUUCUAUCAUGCUUACACAUUGACCCCAAGGGAUCUUAUAAAAAACUUUCCAUUAUUUUACACAAAGCCAACGAAAAUCGAGCAGAAUCAAAACAUUUUACAGCUGAUCGCUGUCAAAAAAGUUCAGCGAUGACGUCCUUUUAUGUUUUUAUAACCUAAAGAUGCUAUGUGAAAGUUUGUAACAGAAAAUUGUGUUUUUCAUCUUGUCACUUUCUUGGUAUAGAAAACACAUUUUUACCGAAAUUAGACAAAAUGGAUUUAUUGCGUUUUGGAACCAAAGUUUUCAUAUUGUUUUUUUUUUUUUUUUAAGUUUAUUUGUACAGGGACAGAUACAAUAACAUAGACAAACUUGAGAUACAGUCCUCAAAUGCAUGUACCAUAGUGCUUGUAGCUGAAGCUAAUUUGCAGCACUUGUCCCUUAUGGACUGUUAUUGGAGUAUACACAUUUGCCACUUUAAACUAAAUGCUCAGCACAGUAAAGAAAAAUAUAAUAAGUUAGUGUGUUAAAGUGAAAAUGCACUAAAGAUAAAAAAAAAUAAGUCUUGAUAGAAAGAAUCUUGUUAUUUAUUCUGUAGGCUAUUGAAGAUAUAGUAUGCAUUGUAUUUUUUAUUUAUGCAUAAAUUACAAUAAAAAUAGGCAUGUAAAACUAACAAGUAUGAAUAUGCACAAACCAGACAGGGAAAAUACCUGAAGAGAUCUUUAGAUAUGGAGAUUAUAAAUAUGAUAGAUGCUGAUGAGAUGAUGAUCAUGGAGUCUGUUUUUACUUUCUUAAACUUGCAUUUUAACCGUUGCGUCUCUUUUUCGUCUUUCUAUUGAUAUACAAUAGAAGAGCUCUCUAAACUAGUAACGUCAUCCAAAUCAUCGUCCUGUAUACUAGACCCCGUUCCCACAAAAUUACUAAAAGAGGUAUUUCAUGUAGUGUCAGACACGGUACUUAAUAUCUUUAACUCAUCUCUAGAAUUAGGAUACGUUCCAACAGCUUUCAAACUAGCAGUUAUUAGACCGCUCAUUAAAAAGCAAAACCUUGACCAGGGAGAUCUUAAUAACUUUAGACCAAUCUCAAAUCUACCUUUUCUUUCUAAAAUAUUAGAAAAAGUAGUGGCAAGCCAGCUACGCACAUUCGUAGAAAAUAAUAAUACAUAUGAAAAGUUCCAAUCAGGAUUCAGGCCCCACCAUAGCACAGAGACAGCGCUGCUUAGAGUUACAAAUGACCUCCUAUUAACAUCCGAUCGUGGUGAAAUCUCAAUCCUUAUAUUACUAGACCUUAGUGCAGCCUUUGACACAAUAGAUCACACAAUCUUAAUCAAUAGACUAGAAAACUAUGUUGGCAUCAGUGGUCAGGCGUUAGCCUGGUUCAGAUCGUAUCUAACCAAUCGAUAUCACUUUGUUUAUGUAAAUGAGGAAGAGUCAUAUCACUCCCCCGUUAAAUACGGCAUACCUCAGGGAUCAGUUCUAGGCCCUAUCCUAUUCUCGUUAUAUAUGUUACCUCUAGGAGACAUUAUCAGGAAACAUAACAUAAGUUUUCACUGCUAUGCGGAUGAUACCCAGCUUUACAUCUCGUCGCAUCCUAGCGAAACCCACCAGUUUUCUAAGCUAACAGACUGCAUUAGUGAUAUUAGGGACUGGAUGGCACAAAACUUUCUUAUGCUAAACUCCAAUAAGACAGAGAUACUUAUUAUUGAACCGAAUCGCUACAAACAUAAUAUGUCAGAUUACAAGUUGCCCAUAGAUGGCUGCACGGUGGUGCCAUCUUCCACGGUUAAGAAUUUAGGCGUAAUGUUCGACAGCAAUCUAUCUUUUGAUAGUCAUAUCGCCAACAUCUGCCGCACAGCAUUCUUCCAUCUUAGAAAUAUCUCAAAAAUACGCCAUAUGCUGUCUGCAUCAGACGCAGAAAAGCUUAUACAUGCUUUUAUGACCUCUAGAAUAGACUAUUGUAACUCGUUACUCGGGGGAUGCCAUGCAAAUCAGGUAAACAAGCUACAGCAAGAGUGCUUACUCGAUCUAAAAAGUAUGACCACAUCAGUCCAAUUCUGGCAUCUUUACACUGGCUACCAGUUAAAUAUCGUAUACAAUUUAAAAUAUUACUAAUCACCUACAAAGCCUUAAAUGGCCUAGCGCCUUCGUAUAUUAAAGAACUACUAUCAGAAUACAAUCCAUCACGUAAACUGCGCUCACAAAAUUCUGGUCACUUAAUUAUCCCUAGAAUAUCAAAAGUGUCUAAAGGUGGUAGAUCCUUUUCCUACUUAGCCCCUAAGCUCUGGAAUGAUUUACCAAAUAAUGUUCGAGUAUCAGACACAGUCGAUCAAUUUAAAUCAAAACUUAAGACAUUCUUCUUUAACAAAGCAUUCACAUAAAAUGUCCAGUAAAUGUACAUUUCCCGCAGUAGUUAGUUUGUCUAGAACAAAGCACUCACAUACCUCAUAUGGGUAAUAUACUAUUGCCGCAAUAGUUAGCCUGUCUGGAACCGAGCCGACUUGAACCACUAUAAUGUUUGACACUUGCAUUGCAUGCGAACGGCCCCUACGCUAAUAGAAUUCUGUUUUUCUCUCCCUGUCUCGUCCUCAACCACGAGGACCAUGAGACAAACAGACCCAGUUCCGGUUGCUGUGAAGAUCAUUGCAUCACUGAUCCACUGGCUGUCCUUCAACGUGAUGACCAGCCGAUGCCCGACCAACGACCACCGGCUAAACCAGUUUAAUUCGCUUACCCGCCUCCUAUCCCUACCGUUUCUAUAUAUAUAUAAAUAUAUAUUAAUUCUUCCCAAGGGUUUUUGUCCUUCUAGGACUUUUUCCCAUUGGGUUUUUUUUCCUAGAGGGUUUUUAAUCCCAGGGAGAGUCAGCCAACUUUGGCUUAACUUAGCACUUUACAGUAUACGUUACAUUAUUAAUAUGCUCGCUUGUACGGUUUAACCACUUUCUCUACUUCUUAUAUUAUCUAUUGAUUUUCUGUGUUCUCCUCUACAUCUUCUCAUGUAAAGCUGCUUUGCAACAAUUAACACUUGUGAAAAGCGCUAUAUAAAUAAAAUUGAAUUGAAUUGAAUUGAAUGUAAUUUUAAUCCAUCACUACAAACUAUAUAUCGUUGGAAAGGUCUAAGCCUCCAGAAUAGACAUUUCAACAGUGUUUUAUAAAAUAAAUUUUGUAGGGAGAGUAAUUGAUUCAUUUAUGAAGAGAGUGUGCCUCAAAACAUUUAUUUUCUGCUAAAUGUCACUGUCCCACCAGCAGGACGCCUACAUUUACUUCAAUGUUUGCAUAUGAAUUCUUAUCUAAUCAUGACAAACUGUAUAUUGUUUGAAAGCUCCAAGAGUGUAGAUUUAACUCAAUAGGGUGGGGUGACGCUUAAAAGGUUAAAGA